AAUGGCCGCAGUACUUUAACUGUGCAAAGGUAGCAUAAUAAUUUGUUUUUUAAUUGGAAACUUGUAUGAAUGGUCAUACGAGGGAUUGACUUUCUUUAUCUUAUAUUAAUUAAUUUUAUUUCUCUGUGAAAAAGCAGAGAUGUAUUUAUUAGACGAUAAGACCCUUUAAAACUUUAUUUAUUAUAAAAGCAUGAGUUUUUAGUUGUUUUUUUGUGCUAUUUUUAGUGAAUUUUGUUGGGGCGACAGGUAAAUUUAUUGAACUUUACUUUUUUAUAUCACAAAUUAGUGUUUGUUUGAUCCAGGUUUAUGUUCUGAUUAAAAGCUUAAGUUACUU
rnacentral:rRNA from 1 species